rnacentral:lncRNA from 1 species
UUGCAUUCCCUUUUUAAUUUUUUUGCACCGCGUGCAAAACAAAACGCACGAGCGCGACGUAUGUUUAGCACGUUUUAUUAUUUUGCACGUUUACGGUAAGUUUUAGCUCGCUGCUCAUUAUUCACGCGUCUAGCGGCGGCAAGCGUGUUCUGAAAGGGGUCGAAACCAUGGUAAGUAGGCACUGGUGCAGUUGAACCGUGGUAAAACUCGUCUCCGUAGUUGAGCGGGAGCGGCCAAAGGAAUGUGCAAUCGUGUGUGUAGUGGAGCUGGGAGGGGCAAGCAUAAGGGACGAAGACGGGGGUAACAUGUCGGAUGCGAUCAUACCAGCACUAAAGCACCAGAUCCCAUCAGAACUCCGAAGUUAAGCGUGCUUGGGCGAGAGUAGUACUAGGAUGGGUGACCUUCUGGGAAGUCCUCAUGUUGCAUUCCCUUUUUAUUUUUUUUGCGCCGCGUGCAAAAGAAAACGCACGUGCGCGACAUAUGUUUAGCACGUUUUACUAUUUUGCACGUUUACGGUAAGUUUUAGCUCGCUGCUCAUUAUUCACGCGUCUAGCGGCGGCAAACGUGUUCUGAAAGGGGUCGAAACCAUGGUAAAUAGGCACUGGAGCGGUUGAACCGUUGUAAAACUCGUCUCCGUGGUUGAGCGGGAGCGGCCAAAGGAAUGUGCAAUCGUGUGUGUAGUGGAGCUGGGAGGGGCAAGCAUAAGGGACGAAGACGGGGGUAACAUGUCAGGUGCGAUCAUACCAGCACUAAAGCACCGGAUCCCAUCAGAACUCCGAAGUUAAGCUUGCUUGGGCGAGAGUAGUACUAGGAUGGGUGACCUCUUGGGAAGUCCUCGUGUUGCAUUCCCUUUUUAAUUUUUUUUGCGCCGCGUGCAAAAGAAAACGCACGUGCGCGACAUAUGUUUAGCACGUUUUAUUAUUUUGCACGUUUACGGUAAGUUUUAGCUCGCUGCUCAUUAUUCACGCGUCUAGCGGCGGCAAGCGUGUUCUGCAAGGGGUUGAAACCAUGGUAAAUAGGCACUCGUGCGGUUGAACCGUGGUAAAACUCGUCUCCGUAGUUGAGCGGGAGCGGCCAAAGGAAUGUGCAAUCGUGUGUGUAGUGGAGCUGGGAGGGGCAAGCAUAAGGGACGAAGACGGGGGUAACAUGUCAGAUGCGAUCAUACCAGCACUAAAGCACCGGAUCCCAUCAGAACUCCGAAGUUAAGCUUGCUUGGGUGAGAGUAGUACUAGGAUGGGUGACCUCUUGGGAAGUCCUCGUGUUGCAUUCCCUUUUUAAUUUUUUUUGCGCCGCGUGCAAAACAAAACGCACGUGCGCGACAUAUGUUUAGCACGUUUUAUUACUUUGCACGUUUACGGUAAGUUUUAGCUCGCUGCUCAUUAUUCACGCGUCUAGCAGCGGCAAACGUGUUCUGAAAGGGGUCGAAACCAUGGUAAAUAGGCACUGGAGCGGUUGAACCGUGGUAAAACUCGUCUCCGUAGUUGAGCGGGAGCGGCCAAAGGAAUGUGCAAUCGUGUGUGUAGUGGAGCUGGGAGGGGCAAGCAUAAGGGACGAAGACGGGGGUAACAUGUCACAUGCGAUCAUACCAGCACUAAAGCACCGGAUCCCAUCAGAACUCCGAAGUUAAGCUUGCUUGGGCGAGAGUAGUAAUAGGAUGGGUGACCUCUUGGGAAGUCCUCGUGUUGCAUUCCCUUUUUAAUUUUUUUUGCGCCGCGUGCAAAAGAAAACGCACGUGCGCGACAUAUGUUUAGCACGUUUUAUUAUUUUGCACGUUUACGGUAACUUUUAGCUCGCUGCUCAUUAUUCACGCGUCUAGCGGCGGCAAGCGUGUUCUGCAAGGGGUCGAAACCAUGGUAAAUAGGCACUGGUGCGGUUGAACCGUGGUAAAACUCGUCUCCGUAGUUGAGCGGGAGCGGCCAAAGGAAUGUGCAAUCGUGUGUGUAGUGGAGCUGGGAGGGGCAAGCAUAAGGGACGAAGACGGGGGUAACAUGUCGGAUGCGAUCAUACCAGCACUUAAGCACCGGAUGCCAUCAGAACUCCGAAGUUAAGCGUGCUUGGGCGAGUGUAGUAUUAGGAUGGGUGACCUGCUGGGAAGUCCUCGUGUUGCAUUCCCUUUUUAAUUUUUUUUUGCGCCGCGUGCAAAAGAAAACGCACGUGCGCGACAUAUAUUUAGCACGUUUUAUUAUUUUGCACGUUUACGGUAAGUUUUAGCUCGCUGCUCAUUAUUCACGCGUCUAGCGGCAGCAAGCGUGUUCUGAAAGGGUCGAAACCAUGGUAAAUAGGCACUGGAGCGGUUGAACCGUGGUGAAACUCGUCUCCGUGGCGCAAAAGAAAACGCACGUGCGCGACAUAUAUUUAGCACGUUUUAUUAUUUUGCACGUUUACGGUAAGUUUUAGCUCGCUGCUCAUUAUUCACGCGUCUAGCGGCAGCAAGCGUGUUCUGAAAGGGGUCGAAACCAUGGUAAAUAGGCACUGGAGCGGUUGAACCGUGGUGAAACUCGUCUCCGUAGUUGAGCGGGAGCGGCCAAAGGAAUGUGCAAUCGUGUGUGUAGUGGAGUUGGGAGGGGCAAGCAUAAGGGACGAAAACGGGGGUAACAUGUCGGAUGCGAUCAUACCAGCACUAAAGAACCGGAUCCCAUCAGAACUCCGAAGCUAAGCGUGCUUGGGCGAGAGUGGUACUUGGAUGGGGAAGUCCUCGUGUUGCAUUCCCUUUUUAAUUUUUUUGCGCCGCGUGCAAAACAAAACGCACCGGCGCGACAUAUGUUUAGCACGUUUUAUUAUUUUGCACAUUUGCGGUAAGUUUUAGCUCGCUGCUCAUUAUUCACGUGUCUAGCGGCGGCAAGCGUGUUCUGAAAGGGGUCGAAACCAUGGCAAAUAGGCACUGGUGCCGUUGAACCAUGGUAAACUCGUCUCCGUAGUUGAGCGGGAGCAGCCAAAGGAAUGUGCAAUCAUGUGUGUAGUGGUGCUGGGAGGGGCAAGCAUAAGGGACGAAGACGGGGGUGACAUGUCGGAUGCGAUGAUACCAGCACUAAAGCACCGGAUCCCAUCAGAACUCCGAAGUUAAGCUUGCUUGGGAGAGUAGUACUAGGAUGGGUGACCUCCUGGGAAGUCCUCGUGUUGCAUUCCCUUUUUAAUUUUUUUGCGCCGCGUGCAAAACAAAACGCACGUGCGCGACAUAUGUUUAGCACGUUUUAUUAUUUUGCACGUUUACGGUAAGUUUUAGCUCGCUCCUCAUUAUUCACGCGUCUAGCGGCGGCAAGCGUGUUCUCAAAGGGGUCGAAACCAUGGUAAAUAGGCACUGGUGCGGUUGAACCGUCGUAAAACUUGUCUCCGUAGUUGAGCGGGAGCGGCCAAAGGAAUGUGCAAUCGUGUGUGUAGUGGAGCUGGGAGGGGCAAGCAUAAGGGACGAAGACGGGGGUAACAUGUCGGAUGCGAUCAUACCAGCACUAAAGCACCAGAUCCCAUCAGAACUUCGAAGUUAAGCGUGCUUGGGCGAGAGUAGUACUAGGAUGGGUGACCUUCUGGGAAGUCCUCAUGUUGCAUUCCCUUUUUAAUUUUUUUUGCGCCGCGUGCAAAAGAAAACGCACGUGCGCGACAUAUGUUUAGCACGUUUUACUAUUUUGCACGUUUACGGUAAGUUUUAGCUCGCUGCUCAUUAUUCACGCGUCUAGCAGCGGCAAGCGUGUUCUGAAAGGGGUCGAAACCAUGGUAAAUAGGCACUGGAGCGGUUGAACCGUGGUAAAACUCAUCUCCGUAGUUGAGCGGGAGCGGCCAAAGGAAUGUGCAAUCGUGUGUGUAGUGGAGCUGGGAGGGGCAAGCAUAAGGGACGAAGACGGGGAUAACAUGUCAGAUGCGAUCAUACCAGCACUAAAGCACCGGAUCCCAUCAGAACUCCGAAGUUAAGCUUGCUUGGGCGAGAGUAGUACUAGGAUGGGUGACCUCUUG